AGUGAACGCUGGCGGUAGACCUAACACAUGCAAGUCGAACGGCAGCACAGUAAGAGCUUGCUCUUACGGGUGGCGAGUGGCGGACGGGUGAGGAAUACAUCGGAAUCUACUUUUUCGUGGGGGAUAACGUAGGGAAACUUACGCUAAUACCGCAUACGACCUACGGGUGAAAGCAGGGGAUCUUCGGGCCUUGCGCGAUUGAAUGAGCCGAUGUCGGAUUAGCUAGUUGGCGGGGUAAAGGCCCACCAAGGCGACGAUCCGUAGCUGGUCUGAGAGGAUGAUCAGCCACACUGGAACUGAGACACGGUCCAGACUCCUACGGGAGGCAGCAGUGGGGAAUAUUGGACAAUGGGCGCAAGCCUGAUCCAGCCAUACCGCGUGGGUGAAGAAGGCCUUCGGGUUGUAAAACCCUUUUGUUGGGAAAGAAAAGCAGCAGGUUAAUACCCCGCUGUUCUGACGGUACCCAAAGAAUAAGCACCGGCUAACUUCGUG
rnacentral:rRNA from 1 species